rnacentral:rRNA from 1 species
AACGAACGCUGGCGGCAGACUUAACACAUGCAAGUCGAGCGCCCCGCAAGGGGAGCGGCAGACGGGUGAGUAACGCGUGGGAACGUACCCUUUGCUACGGAAUAGCUCCGGGAAACUGGAAUUAAUACCGUAUGUGCCCUACGGGGGAAAGAUUUAUCGGCAAAGGAUCGGCCCGCGUUGGAUUAGCUAGUUGGUGGGGUAAUGGCCUACCAAGGCGACGAUCCAUAGCUGGUCUGAGAGGAUGAUCAGCCAUAUUGGGACUGAGACACGGCCCAAACUCCUACGGGAGGCAGCAGUGGGGAAUAUUGGACAAUGGGCGCAAGCCUGAUCCAGUCAUGCCGCGUGCGUGAUGAAGGCCUUAGGGUUGUAAAGCUCUUUCACCGGAGAAGAUAAUGACGGUAUCCGGAGAAGAAGCCCCGGCUAACUUCGUGCCAGCCGCCGCCGUAACAC